CCGGCGCACGGGUGAGUAACGCGUAUCCAACCUGCCUUACACUCUUGGACAGCCUUCUGAAAGGAAGAUUAAUACAAGAUGGCAUCAUGAGUCCACAUGUUCACAUGGUUAAAGGUAUUCCGGUAGACGAUGGGGAUGCGUUCCAUUAGAUAGUAGGCGGGGUAACGGCCCACCUAGUCUUCGAUGGAUAGGGGUUCUGAGAGGAAGGUCCCCCACAUUGGAACUGAGACACGGUCCAA
rnacentral:rRNA from 1 species